GUGUAGUGUGAAAGGAGAGACGUUUAGCACUCCCCUAGACAAGGAUGGAAACACGUAUAAAUUGGUAAGG
rnacentral:snRNA from 1 species